AGGAGCGCCAUUCCUGGAGAAACCUCAGAAACCAGGAACAGGAGGAUGCUGCUGGGUGGGCAUCCCCUGGGUGAUGUGGGUCCUCAUGCAAAGGAGACCCACAUGGGCACAGAAACAGGACCCCAGUGUGUGGGCACUCACAGGGGUGCCUCCAGACCUGGGCUGGAUUCUACCGCCAACCAUGUGACCUUACAAGUGACUGGCCUCCCUGAGCCUUGGUUUGUCCAUCUGGAAGAAUGGGAAUAAGAAUAGAACCCACUUAGCAGGCUAGAGAGAGGAUGUCCUAGGUCAUCACACAUAUGGUUCUUUGCACGUGGUGGCAACAGAUGACAAGGGGCCCUUGUUUCUUUGUAUCUCAUCUGUCUGUCUGUCUGUGCAUUGCUGACUCCCUCUGGUGGGAUUGUGCAUCCUCAUCCUUGCAGAUCUGCUGCCUGUGUGUUGGUCCUGCUGCUCAUGGAUUUCCACGCCCUGUGUACUUUGCACGUGGAGGUCUCUGCAAGCCUGGGUGCCUAUGCAGGAGGCCGCUGGCGUCCAUCUCCCUUCUGUUGGUGUAUCGGCAUCCCUACAGCUCAUCACAAGUCAUGGCCUCAGCAUCCAUCCUGCCAUCCAAGCCUGACCCAAGGGUGCUCUUGGACACCCCCUACCCUGCAGUAAGAUAUCAAGUCCCAUGGAAGAUUCGGCUUCACAAACUCCUUUCCCUCCUGACCCUGCUCUCCUCCCCAUGACCUCACCCUGAUCAGGCCCCAUCCUUUUCUACCUGGACCCCUGCUCUGGCCUGGUUCCCCAGCCUCCACUCUCCCUGCCCCUGACGUGUGAACAGUGAGAGGAAUGUUUCUCCGUUCUAAAUCAAAUCCUUUCUCUUGUCUGCCCAAAAACUUUCAAGAUAAAACUGCAAACUGCUUACAUCGUGUCCCCGCUGGUGCCCUUGACCGUCUCCUCCCCUUCCCAGGCUUCUUUCUCUUGUUCAUAAGCUUGGGGGCCUCCUCCUGCAGCCCUUUGUCCCCAACUCCUACACACCCCUCAGCCCCAUCUCAGUCACCCCCGCUGUCACAUCACUGCCUGGCCCUUCCCAGUCUAAUCUAGGUCCCUCUGUUGUUCCCUUCCAAUAUUCUGUCCUUUUCUUGCACCACUUCAUGGGUUGUCAUGAUAUGUUUAUCAGCAUGACUGUGUUUCCUGUCUCCUCCUGCUGCUCUGUGGGCUCUGGGAGGACAGGGAUUGGGUAUGUCUUGGUCGCUGCUGCAGCCCUACCACCCUGUAAGAGGUCUGUCAUAAAGAGGUCAGUUAAUUAUUGUGGCCUUAUUUUGGAUGAAAAUAUGUGCAAAUUUCUGCCCACUUGUUUGAAUACACUGGGAGGCUCAACACGCCUAGGUCUCUGUGGACCUGGCUCUGUCCAUGACCCCUUAAACCUGUGAUGGUUCACUCAAGAACUGUUUGCCGAUCAUCUACUAUAUGCUUGUAAUUUGCUUUCGAAUGCAUUUAUUUUUUAAUUAAAAAAUCUUAAAGUUGAAGUAUAGUUAACAUACAAUAUUAUAUUAGUUUCAGGUUUGCAAUAUAGUGAUCAGGCAAUUACAUACAUUAUGAAAUGCUCACCAUGGUAAGCGUUGUUACCAUCUGUCACCAUACAAAGUUAUUACAAUAUCAUUGAUUAUAUUCCCUAUGCUUUACUUUUCACCUCCAUGACUUAUUUUAAAUUAGAAGUUUGUACCUCUUUAUCCCCUUCACCUAUUUCACCCAUCCCUGUACUCCCCUCCUCCAUUAUUGUAACACCAGUUUCUCU